UACAGAGGAUGCAAGCGUUAUCCGGAAUUAUUGGGCGUAAAGCGUCUGUAGGUGGCUUUUUAAGUCCGCCGUCAAAUCCCAGGGCUCAACUCUGGACAGGCGGUGGAAACUACCAAGCUGGAGUACGGUAGGGGCAGAGGGAAUUUCCGGUGGAGCGGUGAAAUGCGUAGAGAUCGGGAAGAACACCAACGGCGAAAGCGCUCUGCUGGGCCGACACUGACACUGAGAGACGAAAGCUAGGGGAGCGAAUGGG
rnacentral:rRNA from 1 species